GUACCUUUUGUAUAAUGGGUCAGCGACUUAUAUUCUGUAGCAAGGUUAACCGUAUAGGGGAGCCGAAGGGAAACCGAGUCUUAACUGGGCGUUAAGUUGCAGGGUAUAGACCCGAAACCCGGUGAUCUAGCCAUGGGCAGGUUGAAGGUUGGGUAACACUAACUGGAGGACCGAACCGACUAAUGUUGAAAAAUUAGCGGAUGACUUGUGGCUGGGGGUGAAAGGCCAAUCAAACCGGGAGAUAGCUGGUUCUCCCCGAAAGCUAUUUAGGUAGCGCCUCGUGAACUCAUCUUCGGGGGUAGAGCACUGUUUCGGCUAGGGGGUCAUCCCGACUUACCAACCCGAUGCAAACUGCGAAUACCGAAGAAUGUUAUCACGGGAGACACACGGCGGGUGCUAACGUCCGUCGUGAAGAGGGAAACAACCCAGACCGCCAGCUAAGGUCCCAAAGUCACAGUUAAGUGGGAAACGAUGUGGGAAGGCUCAGACAGCCAGGAUGUUGGCUUAGAAGCAGCCAUCAUUUAAAGAAAGCGUAAUAGCUCACUGGUCGAGUCGGCCUGCGCGGAAGAUGUAACGGGGCUAAACUGUGCACCGAAGCUGCGGCAGCGACGCUUAUGCGUUGUUGGGUAGGGGAGCGUUCUGUAAGCCUGCGAAGGUGUCCUGUGAGGGAUGCUGGAGGUAUCAGAAGUGCGAAUGCUGACAUAAGUAACGAUAAUGCGGGUGAAAAGCCCGCUCGCCGGAAGACCAAGGGUUCCUGUCCAACGUUAAUCGGGGCAGGGUGAGUCGACCCCUAAGGCGAGGCCGAAAGGCGUAGUCGAUGGGAAACGGGUUAAUAUUCCCGUACUUGGUGUUACUGCGAAGGGGGGACGGAGAAGGCUAUGUUGGCCGGGCGACGGUUGUCCCGGUUUAAGCGUGUAGGCUGGUUUUCCAGGCAAAUCCG
rnacentral:rRNA from 1 species